AUUUUCGUCAAUGGGGGGAACCCUGAACGAGCAAUGCCGCGUGAGUGAGGAAGGUCUUCGGAUCGUAAAGCUCUGUUGUAAGAGAAAAACGGCACUCAUAGGGAAUGAUGAGUGAGUGAUGGUAUCUUACCAGAAAGUCACGGCUAACUACGUGCCAGCAGCCGCGGUAAUACGUAGGUGGCGAGCGUUAUCCGGAAUGAUUGGGCGUAAAGGGUGCGUAGGUGGCAGAUCAAGUCUGGAGUAAAAGGUAUGGGCUCAACCCGUACUKGCUCUGGAAACUGAUCAGCUAGAGAACAGAAGAGGACGGCGGAACUCCAUGUGUAGCGGUAAAAUGCGUAGAUAUAUGGAAGAACACCGGUGGCGAAGGCGGCCGUCUGGUCUGGWUWCUGACACUGAAGCACGAAAGCGUGGGGAGCAAAUAGGAUUAGAUACCCUAGUAGUCCACGCCGUAAACGAUGAGAACUAGGUGUUGGGGGAAUAACUCAGUGCCGCAGUUAACGCARUAAGUUCUCCGCCUGGGGAGUAUGCACGCAAGUGUGAAACUCAAAGGAAUUGACGGGGGCCCGCACAAGCGGUGGAGUAUGUGGUUUAAUUCGAAGCAACGCGAAGAACCUUACCAGGCCUUGACAUCCCUUGCAGAGGUAUAGAGAUAUAUCCGAGGUUAACAAGGAGACAGGUGGUGCAUGGUUGUCGUCAGCUCGUGUCGUGAGAUGUUGGGUUAAGUCCCGCAACGAGCGCAACCCUUGUGAUAUGUUACUAACAUUGAGUUGAGGACUCAUAUCAGACUGCCGGUGAUAAACCGGAGGAAGGUGGGGAU
rnacentral:rRNA from 1 species